ensembl:lncRNA
UGAGCCCUCUGAUUUCGGCUGAAAUCCUAGGGGCUGGAGCCCUGCUGGGCGGGUGGGGGAAGGGUGCUUUCUUCUGCGUGUUCUCGGGGCUUUCUCCCUCUGCUCUCCUGGGGUGUUGGCUUGAAGAGGUCAUCCGCUGUGAAAGCUUUCAGCUCAAUAGAGGGCUUCCCUCUAGGCUGCGAGGGCCCUAGGCAGUCCUUUAAGUUCCCCUGAAUGGCCAUCCCCUCCCCCAUUCCUUCCCUCUCAGAGGAUUUCUGGGGUCCCCAUUGCAGUCUUUAGGGGAGGGAGCAAAGAUUUCUCUUACCCGGUUCCAGCUCCUCUGAGGGGGGCUGCAGCCUCUCUACUCUCCAUCAUAUGGCUGCGUGGAUCUCUCUGACAUUUAUUGUGUUGAGUUUGGAUGUCCUCUCUUGGAGUAUGGGAUUUUUUUCGUUGUAUAUGGGAGGAAGAAGAUUUCUCAGUGACCUUCACUGCCGUGAUGCUGACGUCACUCCCAAACAUUCCAGUUUUUAAUUUCUUUUUUUCUGUAGCUUUUUAAAUGUUAUCAAUUUUUUUCCAGUUAUUUUAUGGAGAUCAUAUUGAUUUAUAACAUUGCAUAAUUUCAGGCAUACAUUAUUAUAUAUAUUAGUUUCUGUAUAGACAGCACCAUGCUUGCCACCAAUAUUCUAGUUUUUAUCCAUCAUUAUAUAUAUGUGCCCAUUUACCCCUUUGGCAACACCCCCACCUUCUUCCCCUCUGGUCACCACUAAUCUGUUCUCUAUAUUCGUGUGUUUGUUUAUCUUCCACAUAUGAGUGAAGGCAUAUGGUGUUCAUCUUUCUCUGUCUGGCUUAUGUCACUUAACAUAAUGCCCUCAAAGUCCAUCCAUGUUGUUGCAAAUGGGACGAUUUUGUCUUUUUUGUAGAGCUGAGUACUAUUCCAUUGUAUAUACCAUGUCUUCUUUAUCCAUUUGUCACUUGAUGGGCACUUGGAUUGCUUCCAUAUCUUGAUUAUUAUGAAUAACACUGCAGUGAAGAAAGGGGUGCAUAAAUCUCCUUGGGUUGUUUUUUUCAGGUUCUUUGCAUAAAGACCCAGUACUGGAUGGCUGGGUUGUAUGGUGUUUCUACUUUUAAUUCUUUGAGAAAUCUCCAUACUGUUCUCCAUCGGGGCAUUCCCGUAGUGUGUGGGUUCCCCUCUCCCCACACCCUCCUCAACAUUUUCUAUUUUUUGUCUUGGUAAUUAUAGGCAUUCUGAUAGGUGUUUGGUGAUAUCUCGUUGUAGUUUUAUUUUGCAUUUCCCUAAUAAUUAGUGAUGUUAAACAUCUUUCAUGUGCCUGUUGGCCAUCUGUAUAAUUUCUUUGGAAAAAUGUCUGUUCAUGUCCUCUGGCCCAUUUUUUGAUCAGGUUGUUUGAUUUUUUGUCAUUGAGUUGUAUGAGUUAUUUGUAUAUUUUGGAAAUUAACCCCUUGUCAGAUAUAUGAUUUGCAAAUAUUUUCUCCCAGUUGGUGGGUUGUCUUUUCGUUUUGUUCAUAGUUUCCUUUCACUUGCAGAAGAUUUUUACUCUGAUGUAGUCUCAUUUGUUUAUUUUUUCUUUUGUUUUCCUUGCAUGAGUAGACAUGGUAUUUGAAAAGAUGCUGCUAAGACAGAUGUCAAAGAAUGUACUACCUAUAGUUUCUUCUGGGAGUUUCAUGGUUUCAAGUCUUACGUUUAAGUCUUUAACCCACUUUGAAUUAAUUUUUGUGUAUGCUGUAAGAUCAUAGUCUACUUUCAUUCUUUUGCAAGUGGCUGUCCAGUUGUCCAACAUGAUUUAUUGAAGAGACUUUCCUUUCUCCAUUGUGUGUUCUCAGUUCCUUUGAGGAUUAACUGACAAUAGAUGUGUGGUUUUAUUUCUGGGCUUUUGAUUUUAUUCUAUUGAACUGUGUGUCUGUUUUUGUACCAGGAUCAUGCUGUUUUAAUUACUAUAGCUCUGUAGUAUAUUUUUAAGUCAAGGAUUGUGAUGCCUCCAGGUUUGUUAUUUUUCCUCAGGCUUGCUUUGGCUAUUCGGGGUCUUUUGUUGUUCCAUACAAAUUUUAGGAUUCUUUGUUCUAUUUCUGUGAACAAUGUCAUUGGGAUUGGGAUUGCAUUGAAUCUGUAGAUUGCUUUAGGAAGUAAGGACAUUUUAACUACGUUUAUGCUUCCAACCCAUGAGCAUGGAAUGUCUUUCCAUUCCUUUAUAUCUUUUUUGAUUUCUUUCAAUAAUGUCUUUAGUUUUCAAUGUAUAGGUCUUUCACCUCUUUGGUUAGAUUUAUUCCUAGAUAUUUUAUUCUUUUUGUUACAAUUCUAAAUGGGAUUAUAUUCUUGAUUUCUCUUUCUGCUACUGCAUUAUUAGUGUAUAGAAAUGCAGCUGAUUUUUGUAACUUGAUUUUGUACCCUCCAACUUUGCUGUAGUUGUUGAUUGUUUCCAAUAGUUUUCUGAUGGAUUCUUUAGAUGUUCUAUAUAUAGAAUAAUGUUGUCUACAAACAGGAUUCCUUUUAUUUCUUUUUCUUGCCUAAUGGCUCUGACCAAAUAUCUAGUAGUAUGAUGAAUAGGAGUGGUGAGAGUGGGCACCCUUGUCUUGUUUCUGUUCUCAGGGUCAUGGCUUUUGGUGUUUCACCAUUAAGUAUGAUGUUGGCUGUGGGCUUGUCAUAUAUGGCUCUUAUUUUGUUGAGGUAUUUUCCUUCUAUACCCAUUUUAUUGAGAGUUCUUUUCAUAAAUGGAUGUUGGAUCUUAUCAAAUGCUUUCUCUGCAUCUAUUGAGAUGAUCAUGUGAUUUUUAUUCCUCCUUUUUUUUAAUGUGGAGUAUCACAUUGAUUCAUGGAUGUUGAAUCAUCCCUGCCUCCCUGGAAUAUAUCCAACUUGAUCAUGGUGUAUGAUCCUUUUAACGUAUUGAUAUUUUCAGUUUGCCAAUAGUUUGUUGAGGAUUUUUGCAUCUAUGUUCAUCAGUGAUAUUGGCCUGUAAUUUUCCUUUUUUGUGCUAUCCUUGCCUGAUUUUGGUAUCAGAGUGACGUUGGCCUCAUAGAAUGCAUUAGGAAGUGUUCCGUGUUCUUCAAUUUUUUGGAUAGUUAGAGAAGGAUAGGUGUUAGAUCUUCUUUGAAUCUUUCGUGGAAUUCUCCAGAGAAGCCAUCUGGUCCUGGGCUUUUGUAUUUUGGGAGAUUUUUGAUUACUGUUUCAAUCUAUUGACUUGUCAUUGGUCUAUUCAGAUUCUUUAUUUCUUCUUGAUUCAGUUUUGGUAGGUUAUAUGAGUCUAAAAAUUUAUCCAUUUCUUCUAGGUUCUCCAAUUUGUUGGCAUAUAGUUUUUCAUAGUAUUCUCUUAUAGUCUCUUGUACUUCUGCAAAAUUCACUUUAAUCUCUCUGUUCAUUUCUAAUUUUAUUUAUUUGAGCCUUCUCUCUUUUUUCUUAGCGAGUCUUGCUAAGGGUUUGUCAAUUUUAUUUAUCUUUUCAAAGAACAAGCUCUUGGUUUUGUUGAUUGUUUCUAUUGUUUUUUUUAGUCUCUAUUUCAUUUAUUUCUGCUCUGAUUUUUAUUAUUUUCUUCCUUCUAAUGAUUUUAGGCUUGCUUUGUUCUUCUUUUUCUAGUUACUUUUGGUGCACUGUUAGAUUGUUUAUUUGAGAUUUUUCUUGUUUGUUGAGGCAGGCGUGUAUUGCUAUAAACUUCCCUCUUAGAACCACUUUUGUUGAAUCCCAUAAAUUUGGCAUGUCAUAUUUUCAUUUUCUUUUGUCUCCAGGUAUUUUUUUAUUUCUCCUUUGAUUUCUUCAUUGACCCAAUCACUGUUCAGUGACAUCUUGUUUAAUCUCCACACACUCGUGGCCUUUCUGAUUUUCUCCCUAUAGCUGAUUUCUAGUUUCAUACCACUGUGGGCAGAAAAGAUGCUUGGUAUUAUUUCAAUCUUCUCAAAUUUAUUGAGACUUGUUUUGUGGCCUACUAUGUGAUCAAUCCUAGGGAAUGUUUCACGUGCAUUUGAAAAGAAUGUGUGUUCUGCUGUUUUUUGAUGGAAUGUGCUGUACACAUCUACUAAGUCCAUCUGGUCUAAUGUGUCAUUUAAGGCCAAUGUUUCCUUAUUGAUCUUUUGUUUGGAUGAUCUAUCCAUUGAUGUAAGUGGAGUUUUAAAGUCCCCUACUAUUAUUGUAUUACUGUCUAUUUCUCCUUUUAUGUCUGUUAAUAAUUGCUUUAUAUAUUUAGGUGCUCCUAUGUUGGAUGCAUAGAUAUUUCCAUGUUAUAUCCUCUUGUCGGAUUGUUCCCUCUCAUUGUGUAGUGCCCUUCUUUUGUCUGACCUGUUUUGCCUGAUAGACUUUUCUCUGUUUUGUCUAACUAUUGCUACCCCAACUUUCUUUUCAUUGCCAUUUGCAUGGAGUAUCUUUUUCCAUCCCUUCACUUUCAGUUUGUGAGUGUCUUUAGGUCUUAAGUGUGUCUCUUGUAUGUGGCAUAUAUAUGUGUCUUGGUUUUUUAUACAAUCGGCCACCUUAUGCCUUUUGAUUGGAACAUUUAGUCCAUUGACAUUUAAAGUAGCUAUUGAUAAGUACAUAUGUACUGCCAUUUUGUUACUUUUUUCUGGGUGUUUUAGUAGUUCCUCUCUUCUCUUACUCUCUUCACUUGUGUUUUGAUGGCUUUCUCUAGUAUUAUGUUUGGAUUCCUUUCUCUUAACUUUUUGUUUAUUUAUUAUAGGCUUCUGGUUUGUGAUCACCAUGAGGUUAAUAUCUAAUAACCUACAUAUAUAGCAAUCUAUAUUAAGGUGAUGGUCUCUUUAGUUUGACCUCUUUCUAAAAGUUCUACUCUUUUACUCCCCUCCUCCUACAUUUUAUGUUUUUGACAUCAUAUCUAGCCUCUUUUUGUGUGUGUUACUGUUACCCUCUUAUCUGUUACCCUCUUAUCACAGAAAUAGGUAGUUUUAGUAUUUUUGUCUUUUGACCUUCAUAUUAUCUUCAUAAGUGGUUGAUCUGCUACCUUUACUGUAUUUUUGCCAUUACUAGUGACUUUAUUGCUUUUUUUUGAAAAUUUUCUUAAUCCUAUUUAUGGUCUUCUCUUUCCCACUUAAAUAA